GGACUGUGGGGACCCCGACUCCUGUCAUUCAGCUUCAUCCAGUCACGUGAUCCCUACGUAAACUCACCACACGCUCAGACACUGGUACCACGGACCUACGCAGCCUCGGCCCUCACCGGCACUGACUUGAGCAUCAGUAGGAGUAAAGCAACAGGAUGUAGAUCAGCUGAUCGGAAACGGCAGACAGGAGUGGCUGCAUUUUCUUCCCAGGAACAUUUUGAACACACUGUUCCCAGCCCUGGAGCCGCCCAGGUCCUAUUGCUCCCCUCGCUCCUUCCGCCUUCCCCAGCAGGACGCUGGGGCACAACCUCAUUUCUCUUCCGUCCCGGCCCUGGGAUCAACCCAGCACAUGCUACCUGUCUCAUCCAGGGUGAGGAUCUGUUCUUUCCCAUCAGACCUGGAUGUUAAGAACUGUGCUUUGGGCCUGGCGGUGCUGGCAUUCGCCUUUGAUAUCAGGACUCCGGUGGCAAAGGCAGGUGGAUCUCUGAGUUCGAGGCCAGCCUGCUGUAUGUAGGAAGUUCU